rnacentral:rRNA from 1 species
GUCGAGAAUCUUUCACAAUGGGGGCAACCCUGAUGGAGCGACGCCGCGUGGAGGAUAAGGUCUUCGGAUUGUAAACUCCUGUCAUGCGUGAACAAGGUUGCUUGGUUAAUACCUGGGCAAAUUGAUGGUAACGCAAGAGGAAGAGACGGCUAACUCUGUGCCAGCAGCCGCGGUAAUACAGAGGUCUCAAGCGUUGUUCGGAAUCACUGGGCGUAAAGGGUGCGUAGGUGGCGUGGUAAGUCAGAUGUGAAAGCCCGGGGCUCAACCUCGGAACUGCAACCGAUACUGCCAAGCUAGAGUACUGGAGAAGUGACUAGAAUUCUCGGUGUAGGACUGAAAUGCGUAGAUAUCGGGAGGAAUACCAAAGGCGUAGGCAGGUCACUGGACAGUUACUGACACUGAGGCACGAAGGCCAGGGGAGCGAACGGGAUUAGAAACCCGUGUAGUCC